GAUUCACACCAUAACAGAGUGACAGCAUGAUGAAAGCUGUGUUCAGAGAGGAAGGAGGAAAGGAAUACCAGAGCCCGUGUGGAUAGUGAGGAUUUAUACUUGGUCCUCCUAAAUCUCCCUGCGUGACAUUGCUCCAGAAUUUCCAAUUUUAAUCCAAGUGAGAAGGAGCUCAGCAGGUGUGAGGUGAAUAACACCAAGUUGCAGGUAACCUUGCAAGGACAAGGACACUGAUCACUGCGAGGACCCAGGAUACCUCCUCUGCCCCUAAAGCUGUGGGAAGAAACAAAUAUAGAGAGCUGAGUCCAGGAAGCAUGUGGAGUGAUGGGUAAGGACUCUAGAAGAGCAGCCCCUGCAGUUGUGGGAAGAAAAACAAAGUAAGUCACAAGCAGACAGAAACUGUGUCACUCCUCACAAGAAUCAGUUUGUUCUUCACGGUCAUCAAACCCUGGGAAUUUUAUAGAGGAAAACCACAAGGUGAGACCAUCCAAGGUGCAGAAAACAUGGCAACUUGCAAGCAGGAGGUGUCUGUCUGGCCCACAGUUGCAAGUUAUUUGACCUUCUGCCCUGGUUCCUUGGAAGACCUAGCCCUGUUAGACUGCCUAUAAUAUUUCUGUCAAACUCAGUUGCCUCUAACAUGUCAUAAGACAUGAUGAGGCACCCAGGCCUGACAAGGUAGCUGCAGAAGCCUACAAGAAAGAAUUCAUGAAACUCCUGAGGCAGAGGAAUACAUUGCUCAACAAGUGAUCUACUGUGAUGAAAUAGGGCUCUUCUGAAAGAGGAUACUAAAGAGAACCUGUCAUGCAGGAGAAAAAGGCACUGCUGGGGAAUAAAGUCAUGAAAGGCAGAUUGACUCUCAUGAUGUGAGUGACAGCAAGUGCCAGUCUGGACAUUAAAUCAGUAUGGGUGCACUGUUCCCAGAACCUUCAUGCAUUGAAGGGCCAGAAUGCAAGCAUGGCCAGACUGCAUGUCAUGGGGAUGGCCAGUAUGAAAAUUUGAGUCCCAAGGUAAUUGUUCAUGGAAUGACUGCAGGAGGUCUUUGUACCCAUCAUUAAGAAAUAUUUUUUUGGCAACCUGGUGCCUGAGAGUACCUUCUUCUGAUGGGCAAUGCCUUGGCCUACUCUCCAGCCUUGGUGGAUGACAUGAAUGCUGAAUAUGAUGUCACAAAGGUCAAGUCCCUCACCCCAAACACAAUAUCUCUUCUGUAGUCCAUGGAACAUCAAGUGAUCUGCAACUUCAGGAAGCUGUAGACAAAUGGGCUCUUCACUAGGAAUUUUAAUGUCAUUGAAGAAACAUUUUGACUCUAAAGAGUUUUAGAAGAAACAUUUCAUUGUCAUUGUUGUAGUCAGGGGUUGUACACAGAACAAUCAGGACAUGGAGUUUAUAAUAUUAUUUUUGAUGGUCACACAGAGUUAACACAAGAAAUCUAUCCACAAUAAAGACAUGGAAUAUUUAGCCCUAGGCUUGAAUCUCACAGAAAUGUCUCACGUGAGUCCUGAUGAAAACCCAGUGCUCAUGACAGUGCCUCCCACGAGUCCAAUUGGAGGUAUAGAUCCCACAAGGACUCAGUCCAGUCUCUUUUACAGAUUCAUGAUGGGAAGACCCAACGGUUAGUUUAGGGGUGGUAGCUAGGAAGUCUAUGCCAGCUGGGUGAAGGAGCUGUGCUGGUGGGAUGAGGGUUCUACACUGGAGCUGAGAAGUCAUACAACAAAAACCAGGGCUGUCCUGCAAAGCAUCACAGCCUUCCUCAGUGCCAUGGAGGCCCCGAGCUCCUCUGACUACAAGCACAAUUGAGUACAUGCCAGGAAGCCAGUGUGAUGAAUUCAUCCUGAAUACCAAGUGGCACAUGUCUUCCCUUCCGGAGCCAGAAAGCAAUGCUCAAUGUGAGGACCAGAGCUUCUCCAGGAAAGCCUAAUGGCUCAAACAGCAACACAUAGGAGAACCCAUAAUGCAACUUAAUGCCUCAAAGCCUAGCUUCUCCUUCUCCAUGUCUCUAUUUAUGCUGACAACUUUCCUCAGGUGGAACAUCUGCACUCAGCAGCAUGGUGAUAUAAUCUGGUUGGCGUUAAGUUGACCACCUGUUUUCAACCCAUAACAGUCAUCUUUUAAAUCAACAUCAUUGACAAAAUGUGAGAAAAUGUCACAUUGUAUACCAAAAGGAUGUGACUCUGAAGGGCCUGAUGGACAGGUAGUGAAGGAGAUUGUGUCCAUGGACAAAAGUGCGGGUCUGGAUUUCAAAGAUACAGGUAUAGAGGAGCAUGUUGAUGGCCAUAAGGCUGAGCUGACAACCUAAGAAUUUGCUGAAUGCCAGAGUGAGAAGUACAGAAGCUGCUUUUCAAACACCAUUCCCCUGAGGAAGUGGGAGACAAGGAGGAGGGUAAAAUAAAUAUGAAAAUAUCCAUUCUGCAAAAAUAGAAUGAGUGCCAGGCUUUCUUUACGUAGCACCACCUCAACAUAACUGUAACAGAGUGUUGGAUCUAAUGUAUGCUAAUGUAUUCUCUCAUUUCAAGAGGGUACCAUAGUGCAGGAAAAAACAAGUGAUACUGAACAGAAUUUUGACACAGCUGCUAAGAGAUAGAGGAAAUUCUGGAGAUCCUCCAGACGUCCUUAUGAAGGGAGAUUCUCCUCCUCACCCACAUUUCUGUUCUCAAGCAAGACUGGCAUGCCUCCUCUUCAACUGUACUGUACUGUCCUUUGUUUCAAUUUUUUAGUUAAAAAAUGUAUUGGCUAAGAAUGGAUUAACAUUAUUUGCAUUGAACCUUAUGGGGAAAUUUGAUUUUGUUCAUGAUCGAUUCUGUUUUCACUCACAGUAUUGAAAUGAAUUGAGUUUGUGAACCAAGGUGUCACUGUAGGCCAUAACCCAAGAUCUUUCUCUGACUGACUCCAUGACACAUUGCAAUAAGUAAUCAGAAAGGCCAGGGAUUUAGCUCAGUGGCAUAGGUGCCUGCCUGGCAAGCACAAGGUCAUGAGUUUGAUCCCCAGUAACAAGAAAAUGAUUAACUAAACAAAUAAAAUAAGUAACCAAAAAAUUCUCAAUGAUCUUUCUUUAAUUUUUAACUUAAAGAAUUACUGAUCAAUAGUCUUCCUUGGAAUUUUUUGCUUUUCUACACUAUGCUUUCUUAUCUAUGUCUUUUCUUCACAAUAUUUAUCAACAUCUGUGCUUUGAUGUCAUGGAAAGCAAUUGAGGAUUUCUACAGAAGACAGGGAGACCUCCACUCACAGCACACAUGGCAUGGGUUUUGGAUUCACUGACUUCCUUCAGGGAGACUUUUCAUUGAGAGGGAUAAAAACCCCUUAGGUAGAAUUUAAAAUGCACACAUUUACAGGGAAUUAAGUACAGGCCCUCAAGAGUGGUGCCUGAUGCUCUGGAGCUGGGUAUAUUAAUGCAAUCUUGUAAUGUCAUCAAGAUAAGUGAUCUGGGAUAUGUAUUUCUGUUCUCUGUCUGGUUAACUAUUGGAGGUAUAUAUUAAAAUACAAAUUGUUUUCAUGUGUUUGAAGGUGAAAUAUGUUGUUCAUUAAUAUUGCUGCUUCCUUGAAGAUAGAAGUCUGUAGGAGAAAGGAUAGUUUAUAUCACAGGCUUAGAGCCCAAUUUAUAGCUUUAUUGUGUCUGUAGGACCUUUAAGAAUUAUUUGGAGGGAAGCUUUUGUAAAGGUAAAAGUACUUUUGUGUCCUGAGGCUACAAAUUCUCUUAGAAGUACAAUUUUAAAUUACAAUUUUUCUUUUCUCCUUUCUACUUGUAUUUUUUCUUUCCUAACUCAAAGAUACCUAUUUCUAUGAUUAAUUUUAUAAUUUCAUCUCUGUCCUUGAGCUGAGAUACUUUAAUGCAGAGACUCAAUGUUUACCUGCAUUGUACUGUGAAGCCUAGUUCAUAAUGUUCUUCUUAGGUGUGAUAAUUAAAUAUUUGUUGGCAAAAUAUAAAUAUAUGUAAACACAUACAUGUACUUUAUGUCCGUAAGAAAUAUUUUAGCAGUGCUUUUAAAUGUUUACUUCUACAAAACUUGAAACUUGUUGAUAGCGAUAUUCAUAAUGCCAUUAAUUAAGAUUUUUAAAAUUGAAUGUUCUCUAAUAUGUGCCCCUACCUAGAUUUUUAUGGUCAACUAGAUGGUAUGGUUUAGAAUAUGAGAAUGCCCUAACUAAAUGUUAGCCAAUCUGUGUUUACUGAUAACCUAUGACAGGCUCUGUAUUUAAUCCUUGGAUACCUAAAGGAAUCCAAGCUCAGUGGUGGGAUGUACUCUAAUGUACAAUCAGAGAUAUAACUUCACUACAGGAUAUCAUCCUUUUAAGAAAUCUCAAAAACUGAUCUUGAGUAUGAGAAAAUCUCAUGGAAAAUAUGUUUUGUUGCUUGUUCAUUAAUCUUUUCCCAAGCAUAAAAAUUUUACUUACUGUAACUCGAAAGUCAACAUUUCAGAAGUUUUUUGUCUGGGUCCCCAGUUUUUCUAUUUUUUCUUUUGUUUACCAUUCAUUUUUUUCUCUUAUUAAUUCAAGAAGAUUUAUUAAGCAUUUAUUUUUUUUGUGUGUUAGACACUCAUUGUACCACUAGGGAUCCAGAUGUGAAUGAAACAGCCAACAAACAAAACAGCAAAAAUGUCUUCUUCAUAUAGUUUAUAGUCCAAUGGAAAUAUUUGAGACCCAGAAUAAUGGCAAAGGAGUUGUCUAAUGAAUAAAGGACAUUUUUGUCCCAGGUAUUUCAUCUAAUUUGAAAAGGCUGAAAUGAAAGUAUAUGAAUAAAAUCCCAAUAUAUAAGAAUAUUCUACAUGACUCAGCUAUUAGUUGUGGAUUCCUUUCAGAUUCUUAUGAAAUUAAUUCAUUUCCUUUGCCGUAACAUGGAAAUCUCCAUUAUCCAUCCAGCUUCUAAUCUUUGGUUUGGUGUGGCCCAGAUGAUUGUUUAUUCUUGGAUUCAUUAAGUUCUGAAUUUUUAACUUCUAUUGUGUUAUCUUAAAAAGUUGUGGGUUGACCUAAAUAUGGAACCUAGCUUCUUGAACUGAAAUUCUACAAACAAGAGUAUGGAGAAAUUUUGCAAUCCUAGUUUACUUACCACUUCUGUGAAACCCCCCAGUACUCUCAGCCACCCUGCUUGCUCUCCUACUGGGAAAGACAGUGUCUACAUAGUCAUGUGCAAAUACAUUACCACUGGAGCCUACAUGCUCAGCAUUCUCUGCUUGGGUUUAUCCACUUUUUAUUUUUAUGAAGUUUUUCUUUGUAUUUAUCUUAUUUUGUUUCUUCUGCACCUACCCUAAAUAAAAUAUAAGUUCCAAGAGAUCAGGGAUUUCUUGUUUAAUAUUAUUUAUUCUAAGUCAUACUGAUGCUAGUGGCCAACACACUGUAGUCUGUGGGCAAAUCUAGCCUUGCCAUCUGUUUUUGUAUAACAUGUGAGCAUAAGGAGGUUUUAUGUUUUAAACAUAAUUGUAUUUGCAUUAUGUGAUAAAUUUGUAUAAGGUUAAAAAUGUAAGUAAAGCUAAAAUGUCAUUUUUCUAAUUGAUGUAACCUAAUUCCGUAGACAAAGAUACACAAAGAAGUUUAUUUAGCUCAGUUUUGUAGGUCAUAGGUCCAAGAUCUGGUGGGUCCAUUUUUAUGGUCACUGGUGAAGACCUUAUGGCAUAUGAAAUCAUGAUGAGAAUAUGUGUAAGAUGAACCAUGUGGUGAUGCAGAAGGUCAGAGUUGGGGCAAAGUUGCCUUGCUUUUUACUCCAACUCUCACUCUUGAGAUGUCACUCUGUAAGACCAGUAUUAGGGACUUUCAAGUGCAGUACAGCCCUGAUCCCUCCUGGCCCACCUUUUAAAGGUCCAGCACCUCUCGAUAGCACCACGCAGAAGAGUAAGCUUCUCACACAAGAACCUGUGGGUCACAAAACACAGCCAGACAGUAACACUGCCUGCUUUGUUUCACACUGCUAUCUCCACUAAUUUUGGUGCAGACUAAGACUUUCUUUGUGCCAUCAAGGCAGAAUGAUUGUAGCAGAAACUGCACUGACUUCCUGUUCCUUUACAGAAUCCUUUGCCAAACUUAGAUUGGAGGUUCUACGGGCAGGGAUUAAAGUAAUAGUUCUGAAUUUUAAGUCCAAAAAAGAGUUAUCCCUACUGAAUUAAUUAGUUUUCUCUAUUAAAAACACUUUUAUUCAUUGAGUCUUGGAGUUUUCAACUCAACCUAAAGGAAGAGUUUUAUCCAUACUGUAAAUCAAAACAAAACAAAAAAUUGUGAGAAUUAAAUUAAAUGUUAAAAAAAAAAGACUUUGAAUUCUGCUAAACUUCUAAAUUUAUGUGGCAAUUGAGAUUGAAGGGAGAGAGUCUAACUAUUACAGAGUUUCUGGAAUGUUCAAAGGUUUUCAUAUCUUACUGGAAAGGAGAAAAGAAUGAAUGUUUACAAAGAAGUCUUCCAGCUGACUGUACACUUAUUAUAUAAUUGUAUUAAUAUAACAAUCAUAAUAUAAACAUUGACUAAACAAAAGUAGCAUAAAAUGCCCAAGCUUUCAAGGAAUAGGGGAGCUUUCAAUGGGACAUCAUUUAAUAUAAUGGCUGAGCCUCAAGCGAAUAAAGCAGAAAAGAAAGGAGCAAUUGGUUUAAUACACUUGAUCCAAUCAGUAACCCUUUCUGAACCUCAGUUUUCACAUUGAUUAAAUGGAAAAAUUAAAACUUCCCUUUCUUUUAUUAAAUCAUUUUGAAACUUAGAUGAAAGAUAUAAUAGCCUGUCUAUUUCAACAUACUUUCCAAUCGCCUAGAGUAUGCUGAUGAGAUAAAGUACAUGGUUCUAAAAGAAAUUUUAAAACAAAAACUAUGCCAAAGCAAUGUGCUGCUGGUUCCAGCUCCGGGCAUCCCAGAGUGUGAUCUAGAGGGUAAACUUCAAAAUAUAGAUGAUUAAAUUCUACAAAUCAACUCAAAACUGCAAAACAGAUGAAAGUGUCAUUGUGAUUAAGCAAUAGAGUGCAUUUUAACGCUUACAUAAUAAACCCGAUUGAGUACAUCGCAUUCCUAUCAGCAGAGCAAGCAGUCGGAUAUGGCCCAUUAAUGUGAGCUACAGUGUCUGAGAGAUGCCAGUUCCAAAGAUAGAUUAAUAAUCCUCACUCAUCACGGUGGAGAUUGCCUUGGAACCCCUCCAAGUUGCUCUUUUCAGGAAACUGAAGUUGAGUUCAGGUCUACAGGAGCAAAAUAAAUUGGAUGGUAAAGCCAAGAUUUAACAUAAUUAAGCCAACUACCUUCUAAAUCCUUGCAAGGAUCUAAGAUUCUCAGGGGCUCUCAGAGUUUGGUUGUAGCAGAUUUACUUGUGGGAAUUCAUUCCUAAUAGAAAUGAGUGCAGAUCGUUGAGUACAGAUCCUGAGAAAGAGAAGAGAAAGGAAUUUUGUGCUGAUUUUCUAAAGAAUUCCUAUCCUUAGCCUCUCAGUCAUUUCUCUCUCUCUCUCUUUUUCUUUCUUUCUUUGCCUCGUUUGGUAGUUCAGUAAUCUUCUUAUCCAUUUAAUGAUAGAAAAAUGUCAUUUUACAUUGUAUUCUAUAUUCACAGUAUUUAUUUGUAAACAAAAUGAACUGAAUCAUUAUCUUUGAAGUACACACAGCACAUAAGAUCCACCUCCUCAAUUUUCAUUUCCUAUUAAUGACCAUCUUUAUUUUGAAGUCCAGUUUAAGCUUUCUAAGACUGGUAUCCCCAGGAUCAAAUGGACUCAAAAGGGGUUCAUGUUCUCCUUGAUAAUCUUUCAACAUGCUUUCAAUUGUUUCACUGUAAAUAUUAUUUUAAAAAUAUAUUAUUUUAGAACACAACUGUAUGUUGUACAGUAUACUGUGUAUAAACUAUUAGUGGUAAUAAAAUUAACUUACUAUUAAGAAAUUUUAAUUCUGAUGAAAAUGAUUGAAAAUAAAUAAUACUAAUAUAUAAUGGACUGAAAAAAUUCAAAGCAACUGAGUACUCAUAGUCAUGUGUUUGAAGUUUUAGAAAAUUCUUUAGGAAAAAAAUAAUGUUUCUACUAAAAGCACUGAAUUGAAAUAUUAAUGUUAACUAAUCUCAAAAUGUAUUUGGACAGAAGAUCUUAAAAAAUAAUCUGGCAAAUAGAUAAUUAAUGUUAGUUUUAACCCAAUACAGCUGAAGUCCAAAAAUAGAAGGACUUGGAACAUAGGGAGAGCCACAAAAAAACACAGGGAGGAAUUGGGGGAAACAAUUUUACUGCUACUUGAUUUAAGACUUUUAACCCUGAAAUUGUUAGAAAUGAAUUGGUGUUGUGAAAAUCAUCCAGGCUGUGAGAUUUUCUUUUGGCAAAUCUAGAAAAUGAAUGGAGAGAGACCAGAUGGAACUUCAUGUUCUCUGAGAAGUCUUCCCUUACAUAUUCCAUUUUCAUUGCUUUUGCUACAAAUCUGAAUUUCUUGUGUUUUUUCCUUAUUUUUAUUUUGUCACAGUUUGUGGUGCUCUUCUUGCCAUGUAUCCCUCAUAUUCAUUGUGCUAAUUCUCUUAUGGAAAGAUUUGUGGAGCAAAGGAAAUAAGUGGCAUCAAGCCAACCGGGGGACUCUGAUUUAGCUUCUGUCUUGGGCACCUUAAAUGAGUGGUCUCUCAGUUUUGUGCUUCUCUGUCUCGAAAGGAGCCUGAAGGAAGUAUAUACCUUCCUGCUUGACUAUCAGGAGCAAAUAUAAGAUUACAAUUCAAAUGUGUGCUAAUCACUGUGUUCAUAUUUUGCUAUGUAUUAAAUUUAAACAUCUAUAGGCUAUUUAUUUCAUUUCAAUCAAAUUGAUUCGUGAAAGAAAAUGUUUAUAUUGAAUCCAAGUCUUUCACAGGUACAUUUCACCCUUUAACAUAAGUUACAAUCUAAGAAUCAGGGUGGAAUAUCUCUCUCUAGAGUGAGAAAGUCAAUUAAGUAACUUUUCUCCAUGUUGUUCAGUUUCUACACUUUUCUUUUUUUCUUGGGAUGAGGUUCCACUGAUUGACAGAAACAGAAACUCACCUUUAAGUGGUCACCCUUGAGAAAUUGAAUACAGCAGGAAUAGUCAGGAUUUGCCAUGAUGUUGAUUUGGAAAAUAUGAUUUGGAAGAUCUAGAAGUAUGUGAGAAGUUAACUGAUGUCCCAGAAUAAAGUUGGUAGGAUCAAAAGGAAAAUGGAAAAUGAAAGAACAUGAGAGACAGCAACAAGCCAUGAUGAAAAGAGAGUGGAUAAAGUUCCAGGGAUGUUUAUCAGUGUUACUGUGUUAUUAACUGUGGUGGCAACUCGGAUUAAGAAACACCAAGCAGAUUAGUAAAACAUGAUUCUAGGUGUGUCUGGAUGACUGAUAUGUAUGAAACCAAAGAGAGAAGACCCGCAUUGGAUGUGCGUGACAUCAGCCAAUAGGCUAGUGCCUGUUUGUAGCAAAAAAGGGAAAGAAGGAAUUCUCUCUGUUUGCUUUUUUGGAGGCGCUCCUGUCCAGGUCAGUAUCUUUGGACUGCAUCUCCUGUUCAUUCCAGCUUCCAGCACAGACUCUUCAGCUAUUCAGUGCAGGCCCCACCACAUUCUGCUAUGAACUCAGGCAUUGGACCUUUCUGUCCAGUGCACUGAUAGCCUGUUUGCAUUCUUCACCCUGGCUCCUGUGGGAGUCAGCACUGAAAAUGUACAUUCAAAACUGUUUGCAUCUAGGCUGUAAAUGUGGCCCUCCUGACAGGUCAGCUAUGGGCUCUGCAGAUGAAGAAUGGCUUGACCUGGAGGGAGACCACAGCCUUACAGCCAGGAUGUGAGCACAUGUUCUGUUCGGUUCCCAAGCCUCUCUUUUUAGCCUACCAGCCCCAUUCCCAGUGCUGUGAGCUCAAGUGUAAAUAAUGUACUUUUCUCAAGCUAUCUCUUGAAUUUCUCUAAGAGUGCCUUUGUUCUUUUUGUGUACUUGAAAGAGAAUAUCCCUUUAAUAAGCAGAGUGUUCAUCUUGCUUCUUUUCAUGUCACCAAUCUUUCAUAGUGUCACAUCAGUUACUGUUGAUCAGCUCCUAUAUAAAUAACUGGAGAUUAUGUCUCUGCAGGUGUCCGUUGUAAACUUGCUUAAUAAAAUCUUUAUAUCCCACAUAAGUUUUUAUAUGAAAUCUGUUCUUCUAAUGAGUCAUUCAUAAUGCAGUUAAUAUUAUCUGCAUGUUUUCCUAAGUCUCUUACAAAAAUGUAACUUUUCUUAAUUCAAAACUAUGUGCAUUUGAUGAAAUUUAUCAAAUCAAGAUAAUUAAACAGAAAAUAUUUGAAAAUACCUAGAAUCCAGUUAUUCAAGAAGAAACAGUAUUUUGAAGUUCUUUAACAAAAAAAUGUGAUUUGGAGUAAUUCACAAAUGCAGUAUCAUACUAUAAGAACUAUUUAUAAACUACUUUUUACACCUUAGGAUGGUCAACUUUAAAUAUCCCUACGUGUACACACAAACUUUGUAUGGGAAAUAAGAAUUUGGCUAUGUAAUUGGUACAAUGUGAAGGUGAUAGGUCUUUGUAGAAGACAAUUUGUUAGUGCAGCAAAAGCCAAAUGUCAAUCAGUUGUUUUUCUCAUUAUAGUGGUCUCAUUGAUGCUUUAGUGUGCAUUUUUUAUGAGAAUUUCCAAAAAUAUAUCCCACCUAUUCCAUUGACUAUGUCCAUUUAUUUCUGGUGCUAAUCAUAACUUUUACCUUUCAUUCCAGUUUUCAUUAUUCCUUUAUUUAAAAUGUUGUAGAAUAUCAGCAUCACAUUAACUAUUUAUGAUCCUGAGUAGUCACCAUAUUAAAUAUAACAGUACGAUGUACUAAAAAUUAUCUGUUCCUCAGCGAAUACAGGACAGAGAACCUGGGCUAUGAAUUUGCAGUCUUCAGCCCCCUCAUGUACUAUGUGCAACUCCUCCUCUUGCCUCAUCCUUCUCAUUGACAGAUGGGUGUUUAUACAUUAAAAUCAUUAAUCCACUUUGAUUUAUUUUUGUGAUUUGUUGUUUGUUUGGUAAAGUUUCAUUACAUAGAUUCUCAUUCCUCCUUAUAAUGACAGAUUAAGUCAGAUCAUUCCUAUUAUGAAAAGUAUGAAUUCACAGAUUUUUAAAAAUUAACAAGGAAGGAAAAUUAAAGGACAAUAUAAUAAAAAAUAAUAUCCUAAUGAGAUAUAGAGACCACUUGUGUUAUUUUUUUUGAAGUUCGCACAUAAGAUUUUGAAAUCAGAUCAAUAUUUACCAAAAGGCAAAGAAUGGAUAAAUUUCAAUUCAGCUUAAUCCUAAAACUCAGUGUAUUCUUGGAAGGCUUAACUAUCCCUUGAAUUCAUUCAAUAGGUUAAUUGAAUUAUGUGGUUUCAACCAAUGGCAUUUUUAUUCAUUUCUCUCCAGAGGAGUUUGAACGUAUUGAGCUCUUUCACCAGAGGUCAAAUAGUAAUAGCUCCUGGGAUCAAUUAGUGAGCCACCUAAUUAGAUUUGAUUAAUUGUCUCUGAACCAUGACUUGCUCUGGUGUAUGUGAUGCCUCUUUAGCAUAGGAGCUGCACUGACUAACUUGGCACUGAUGGGAAGAUCACAAUGUAAUGUUUUCUGCACAUGCACAUAUUUUAUUCUGUGAAGAAGAUGGGACUGAGAGAGUUAUACUGAAAGGAUUGUUCUGUAACAUACAUGAAUGCUUGGAAGUGCAUUUGGGCACCUCAGUAUUGAGUAUAAUACUAUAAGUAUUAAAAGUAAUAACAUAAACUAACCUGGAACACCAUUUCCACUUCAAGUGAAAAUAAGUACAGGUGAGACAUGAUUAUCUUUUGAAUGUGUUUAGAGCUGAUUCAAUCCCUCAAUACCAUUUACCCCAUACCCCUAGCAAUAUUCCCCCUCUGUCUUUGAGCACCUACUCAGAUAUUCCAUCAAACCUUUUUCUAACUCAAUUUUUCCAUGUCCAAGUAGUCAAGUCGCCUGUCUUUCAGUAAUGCUCAUGUUUGGUUUUGGGUCUCCUUUACUUUCUACUUGUAAAAUCAUUUUCCAAGUACUAUCGAGUUAAUCUUCCAAAAUUUUCAUAUCCCACUCAUCUCACUCAUUUUUCUCAGAAUUCCCUUAGUUGUAAGUGCUGUCUGUCUACCGUGAAAAGAUACAGUGUCACCCUCCUCUGGGGCAAGCAGUUACAAGGACCUAUCUUGGAAUCAGAGAUAGGGGCACCUGUCAGACACUAAACCUAGAAACACCCUGAACUUGUAAUUGUGCUCUCCAGAGCCUUGAGAGAUAAACAGACUAAGCUUAGGCAUUCUAUUAGAGCAAUCAAAUGGACUUUUAGAUCAUGUUAUCCAAACAGAAAUUACUCCAUUUUCAUAGUUAACUAACUUCAAUGGGAAUGAUGGGUUGUUGGCCUAGAAAAUGAAUGAUAGAAAAAAUAACAAAAAAGUAGGUAUAGUUAUUGGAAACCAACAGAAACACAUUAGAAAUCAGAAUCAGGUACUUUUCCAGUGGUCAAUGAUCAGUAUUUUCCUAUAAAGGAAAUAGGUAACCUAUAGGUUUUGUCUAUAAUAUUCUAGCUCUAGCAGCCACAAUCCAGACAUAAAUUGGAGUAUCAUAGAUUUUUGUAAGUUUAUAAUCUAUAUCAGUUCUAAACUUAAUACUAAGAAAAUAUUUAUACUACUUUCAUAGUUUAUAAUAUAAAAUCUUCUUUAAAAUCUUCUUCAUGGAAAUUUGAAGUCAUUUGUUAGAGUUACUACAUCAUAGGAAAGAACAUCAUCAAUAUUGCAUGCAAAUUCACCCUAAAUCCUGGAGACCCACACGGAUUUGUGACCAGAAUGGAAGCUCACUGCAGUAGAAUGACAGAUAAAAACUUACACAAUGUAUAAAUAACAAGAUUCUCAUUAUUUUGUAAAGCCAAUCUCUUUUUUAUGGUCAUAAUAUCAACAUUAAUAGAAUAAACCUUCUUGAUCACCUAAGGUUAAAAUUCCUAUUUUGGCUUUUCCAUCCAUACAGAAGGAUCAUUAUGGUUAAAAGAGCUGAGCAGAUCUUUUAGCUUCCAUUUUUUAGUAAUGUAUUAAUCUUGGAGCUGUUUUGUAUCCUUAGGAAAAUUGUAAGUUUAGUGUUGCCAUCAAAUACUUGAAAAAUGCAAGUUUGCAAAAGCUUGGCAUACUCAUUUAAGCUGACAUUAUAACGGUUGGCUGUGUUGAAAAAGAAUGUAAAUUAUCAGAAUCGUAUAUAGGUUAGAAUUCAAUUGCAAUUGAUAUUUCAUGUGUAAACAUGUGUAGUAUAACAAAUGAGCAAGUAAGCCCAGUCCCUCUCACUCACAUGCAACUUUUGACUGAUCUAGUGAUUCUUCUCCCCCAUUUAAUUUGCAAAAACAGUUUGAUAUUUCCUGGCAGAUCAAAAUAUCUACAGUACUUUCAGAGUGUCACAAAGGGACUAGAUCACCUCUUCUAUUUUGUCAGUAGAGUUAUUGAUCAUUCUGACAUUCUAAACGCCAUCAUACAAAUCCUCUACAUCUAUGAUACUAACUCACUUAGAUCUGCUGAGCAAGAUAAUACCUAUUGAGACUUAUAAGAAUCGCUGGAAUAGAAAAGUAAUUUCAAGACUCUGCUAUUGAUGAAAUUUCCGAGAGCCCAAUAUUCAAGAGCACAUAGAGCUACCACUUCAAAUGUAACAGGCAAGUUGCUACACCUUAUACUCUAAACCUCAAAGAAAGGAUGCAUAAAACUGAGAGGCCCAUUCAUUGGAGGUAGCACACAGCAUGUGCAAGUGUGCUACUGUGUUCCACACACUAAGUUAACUAUAAAUUUACUAGAGGUUAAAGGCAAAGAGUAAAAGACAGCUCCACAGUAAAACAGAGUUCCAUGUAUGCUUUUCUCCUAAUGAGAUCCUAUGUCCCAGCAAAACCAAGCAUACAUAAAAUGUCCAUGGUUAUGUAGGGGUGGUACACAUAGCACCUGUUCUACUAAGGAGGAAACAAUUUUACCAAGGUCACAGCCCUAGCUAACAGGGAAAGUUGGUUGCAAAGCUCAGGAACCAAGUGCAAUGCUGUGUAGAGAAAGAAAUCUGUUGAUAACAUAAUGACAAUCAAUCUGAAUGUCAAGUUAAACACAAAUAAAAAUGCUCUGUAAUUUCUUCUUACAUGUGAUUAUAUUUUGCAAGGUUAAGUACUAGUAAAGUCUUCUGUAAAAGAGCUUGUCAGCAUGGUAAUUAUGGCCAAAAACUACUCCAAAGGAGGAAUUAGCAAAAAAAAAAAAAAAAAAGUGACUGAGCACUGAAUUGGAUGAAGGGCAUAAAGUUAUGCCACGUACCAUAUCUUAAACUUUCUGGAAAAAUUGAAAAUAUUUAUAUAUCUUUUCCCUCUAUGGUUUGUUUUCUUCUAUAACAGUCAAUCUAGUCUCUAUGUGUUUCUUUUCUCACAACAUGUGAUAGCACCUAGAUUUCUUUUGUACAAAUGAGCUCAGGAUCUGUUUGAAAAUUCAGAAGAUAGAGGAGGAAAAGUUAGUGUAUACACAGCAUAAGGUAGAAUGCAUAGAUAAGACUUUUUGCAGGUGCUAACAAUUUUCUCUUUAAUUUGCUACUGCUCUGAGGAGCUAGCAUUCUAAGCCUGUCUGUUCAAGACCCAGAUGUAGAACUAGUUACCUAAUCAAAAAAUCAGUUAAUUUGACUUGUCUUUAAUCCAUUUCACCCAACUCUCUAGGGCUACAGAUAACCAAGGAAUAAUAAUGUGAAUCAAAAAGCAAUAAAUAUCAUGGAAAAAGAGAGAAAGAAUUUAAAACAAUCCCUUCUGACUUUAAAAACCUAAUUAGAAAUCAGAUAUAGAUUUUUCAUGAUAAAAUCUCAUUUAAAAAUAGAGCAAAUUCCUGCUUAUAUGUCAUUCACAGUGCU